GGGUUCCUACGGGGGGCAGCAGUGAGGAAUAUUGGUCAAUGGCCGGAAGGCUGAACCAGCCAAGCCGCGUGAAGGACGAAGGUGCCAAGCAUUGUAAACUUCUUUUGUCAAGGGACAAAAUCAGGCUCGAGAGCCUGACCGAGGGUACUUGAAGAAAAAGCAUCGGCUAACUCCGUGCCAGCAGCCGCGGUAAUACGGAGGAUGCGAGCGUUAUCCGGAUUUACUGGGUGUAAAGGGAGCGUAGACGGUUAAUCAAGUCAGAAGUGAAAACCCAGGGCUCAACCUUGGGACUGCUUUUGAAACUG
rnacentral:rRNA from 1 species